rnacentral:rRNA from 1 species
UACGUAGGGCGCAAGCGUUAUCCGGAAUUAUUGGGCGUAAAGAGCUCGUAGGCGGUUUGUCGCGUCUGCCGUGAAAGUCCGGGGCUUAACUCCGGAUCUGCGGUGGGUACGGGCAGACUAGAGUGAAGUAGGGGAGACUGGAAUUCCUGGUGUAGCGGUGAAAUGCGCAGAUAUCAGGAGGAACACCGAUGGCGAAGGCAGGUUUCUGGGCUGUAAAUGACGCUGAGGAG